rnacentral:rRNA from 1 species
AGUGAACGCUGGCGGUAGGCCUAACACAUGCAAGUCGAACGGCAGCACAGUUAGAUCUUGCUCUUACGGGUGGCGAGUGGCGGACGGGUGAGGAAUACAUCGGAAUCUACUUUUUCGUGGGGGAUAACGUAGGGAAACUUACGCUAAUACCGCAUUCGACCUACGGGUGAAAGCAGGGGAUCUUCGGACCUUGCGCGAUUGCAUGAGCCGAUGUCGGAUUAGCUAGUUGGCGGGGUAAAGGCCCACCAAGGCGACGAUCCGUAGCUGGUCUGAGAGGAUGAUCAGCCACACUGGGACUGAGACACGGUCCAGACUCCUACGGGAGGCAGCAGUGGGGAAUAUUGGACAAUGGGCGCAAGCCUGAUCCAGCCAUACCGCGUGUGUGAAGAAGGCCUUCGGGUUGUAAAGCCCUUUUGUUGGGAAAGAAAAGCAGCAGGUUAAUACCGCGCUGUUCUGACGGUACCCAAAGAAUAAGCACCGGCUAACUUCGUG